rnacentral:rRNA from 1 species
AUACGUAGGGGGCGAGCGUUGUCCGGAAUGAUUGGGCGUAAAGGGCGCGUAGGCGGCGCGGUAAGUCUGGAGUGAAAGUCCUGCUUUCAAGGUGGGAAUUGCUUUGGAUACUGCCGCGCUUGAGUGCAGGAGAGGUUAUCGGAAUUCCCGGUGUAGCGGUGAAAUGCGUAGAGAUCGGGAGGAACACCAGUGGCGAAGGCGGGUAACCGGACUGCAACUGACGCUGAGGCGCGAAAGUGUGGGGAGCAAACAGGAUUAGAUACCCUGGUAGUCCACACUGUAAACGAUGAAUGCUAGGUGUAGGGGGUAUCGACCCCUUCUGUGCCGCAGUCAACACAAUAAGCAUUCCGCCUGGGGAGUACGGCCGCAAGGUUGAAACUCAAAGGAAUUGACGGGG